rnacentral:tRNA from 1 species
CAAGGAAUAGUUUAUUAAAAAUAUUAAUUUUGGAGAUUAACGAUAAAGAUUAUUCUUUUUCCUUGA